rnacentral:other from 1 species
UUCCCUGCGUAGUUCGUGUAGUCUGGAAUUUUAGAACCAACAUUUAGAUUAAAGGGAGUCCGCCUUUAAGCGCCUGCGUGUAUGCUUGCUUUUAAGUAAGAAACCCAUAAAUCGUUUAACAAGACACCCACCUGUUUUUGACAGGCUCUUAAAAUUUCUUUCAUCUUACGGCUAAUGUGGGGCUU